rnacentral:rRNA from 1 species
CCUACGGGGGGCUGCAGUGAGGAAUAUUGGUCAAUGGACGAGAGUCUGAACCAGCCAAGUAGCGUGCAGGAUGACGGCCCUAUGGGUUGUAAACUGCUUUUAUAAGGGAAUAAAGUGAGUCUCGUGAGACUUUUUGCAUGUACCUUAUGAAUAAGGACCGGCUAAUUCCGUGCCAGCAGCCGCGGUAAUACGGAAGGUCCGGGCGUUAUCCGGAUUUAUUGGGUUUAAAGGGAGCGUAGGCCGGAGAUUAAGCGUGUUGUGAAAUGUAGACGCUCAACGUCUGCACUGCAGCGCGAACUGGUUUCCUUGAGUACGCACAAAGUGGGCGGAAUUCGUGGUGUAGCGGUGAAAUGCUUAGAUAUCACGAAGAACUCCGAUUGCGAAGGCAGCUCACUGGAGCGCAACUGACGCUGAAGCUCGAAAGUGCGGGUAUCGAACAGGAUUAGAUACCCUAGUAGUC